GAUGAACGCUGGCGGCGCGCCUAACACAUGCAAGUCGAACGGCACCCACCUCCGGGUGGAAGCGAGUGGCGAACGGCUGAGUAACACGUGGAGAACCUGCCCCCUCCCCCGGGAUAGCCGCCCGAAAGGACGGGUAAUACCGGAUACCCCGGGGUGCCGCAUGGCACCCCGGCUAAAGCCCCGACGGGAGGGGAGGGCUCCGCGGCCCAUCCGGUAGACGGCGGGGUGACGGCCCACCGUGCCGACAACGGGUAGCCGGGUUGAGAGACCGACCGGCCAGAUUGGGACUGAGACACGGCCCAGACUCCUACGGGAGGCAGCAGUGGGGAAUCUUGCGCAAUGGGGGGAACCCUGACGCAGCGACGCCGCGUGCGGGACGGAGGCCUUCGGGUCGUAAACCGCUUUCAGCAGGGAAGAGUCAAGACUGUACCUGCAGAAGAAGCCCCGGCUAACUACGUGCCAGCCGCCGCAGUAA
rnacentral:rRNA from 1 species